rnacentral:sRNA from 1 species
CCACAAGACUUGCAGCAGACGAUGUCACAACAGAACAUGCAAUAGUGUGACAGGAGUCUGUGAAUGCAGAUCUGCAUUUUGUCAUGAAAAGGCGGAGAGUCUCCCGCCCACAUCGUGGGUUACUUUGUUUAAGCAAUCGCUCCAACUCCUCCAUUUCUACGCCCUGUUGGCCGCUGUGGCUGUAGUCUGCGUGUACGUCUGGCUUCUUGGGAAGAGAGAAGUCCGAGAUUUUUCAAUAAUAAAGUUAAAAAUUUGUCGUCUACGUCCCAAGGAGACCAGGUCAGAGAACAUCACAGCGAAGUCGUCAGAAAACACGACCACAUCUAGGCCAGUGUAUUUCUCCUCAGUAGCCACAGAACAUUCUUCAUAUACCUCCAUUCUUUAGAGCUAUAUAAAAUGUCUAAAAAAAAUUUCUACAUUGUUAAUAUACAAGUUACUUUAAUCUUUGUUUAAUCGAUGUUUAAUCUAUGUUUAAUCGAUGUUUACUUUUUUCUGUAGCUUUAAAUUCUAUUUUGU